rnacentral:misc_RNA from 1 species
AUGGGACGGCCCGCUGGGCUGUUCCCGCCCCUAUGCCCUUUUUUGGGUUUCCGGCCAGAGGCAUGCUGGGAGCGUCACAUGCAAAUUGAGCGUGCACCCAGCGUUCCGCCCUUUCUACGCUGGGCCGGUUAUCGACCCGGCCCAGUGCGCAGGCGCGGGAAAGUUGAACUAAUAAAGUUUGUACGAGUUCAGUGGAGGAGACCGCAAGUUGAGUGGAGGAGGCGGCGGUGGGGCCCCGGACCAGGUGCCUCCAUGGCAGGCUCUGAAGAGCUGGGGCUCCGGGAAGACACGCUGAGGGUCCUAGCUGCCUUCCUUAGGCGUGGUGAGGCUGCCGGGUCUCCUGUUCCAACUCCACCUAGAAGCCCUGCCCAAGAAGAGCCAACAGACUUCCUGAGCCGCCUUCGAAGAUGUCUUCCCUGCUCCCUGGGGCGAGGAGCAGCCCCCUCUGAGUCCCCUCGGCCUUGCUCUCUGCCCAUCCGCCCCUGCUAUGGUUUAGAGCCUGGUAAGAGAUUUCCAUGAUCAUCUAUGAAGCCGGCAGAACACGGGAUAAGGCCCAGCUACUCCAGACUUCUAUGCUUUGGUGGCCCAGCGGCUGGAACAGCUGGUCCAAGAGCAGCUGAAAUCUCCGCCCAGCCCAGGAGGGCAUCCUGGCUGUUUCACCCGUGGACUUGAACUUGCCAUUGGACUGAGCUCUUUCUCAGAAGCUGCUACAAGAUGACACCUCAUGUCCCUGCCCUCUUCGUGUGCUUUUCCAAGUCUUCCUAUUCCACUCAGGGCUGUGGGGUGGUGGUUGCCCUACCUGUUUUUGCCAAAAAUAAAUUGUUUAAAACUUUUCUUAUUAAAAACGUUACAAAGUA